UCUCGUCACAACGGUAGCUAUGAUUACAGUAGUCCGGUCCUGCUGCUCCUUGAAUAUGUGGAUAAACUACGUAGUCGGUUGUAAUGUAGCUGGAUCUGUAGUCUCUCUGUGUCGUCUCAUCUCUCUGAUGUCUUAAUGCUUCUGACAACCUGAAACCUCCAGCACAUUACCCACAAACCCCAGACCCCUUUUCCCCUGUCUGAUUUGUUACCCCCCUGUCUUCAGAACCAGGUGACCUAGUCUCUAAUCUGUCUGAGAGAUGGGUUCGCUGUCUUCAGAACCAGGUGACCUAGUCUCUAAUCUGUCUGAGAGAUGGGUUCGCUGUCUUCAGAACCAGGUGACCUAGUCUCUAAUCUGUCUGAGAGAUGGGUUAGCUGUCUUCAGAACCAGGUGACCUAGUCUCUAAUCUGUCUGAGAGAUGGGUUCGCUGUCUUCAGAACCAGGUGACCUAGUCUCUAAUCUGUCUGAGAGAUGGGUUCGCUGUCUUCAGAACCAGGUGACCUAGUCUCUAAUCUGUCUGAGAGAUGGGUUCGCUGUCUUCAGAACCAGGUGACCUAGUCUCUAAUCUGUCUGAGAGAUGGGUUCGCUGUCUUCAGAACCAGGUGACCUAGUCUCUAAUCUGUCUGAGAGAUGGGUUCGCUGUCUUCAGAACCAGGUGACCUAGUCUCUAAUCUGUCUGAGAGAUGGGUUCGCUGUCUUCAGAACCAGGUGACCUAGUCUCUAAUCUGUCUGAGAGAUGGGUUCGCUGUCUUCAGAACCAGGUGACCUAGUCUCUAAUCUGUCUGAGAGAUGGGUUCGCUGUCUUCAGAACCAGGUGACCUAGUCUCUAAUCUGUCUGAGAGAUGGGUUCGCUGUCUUCAGAACCAGGUGACCUAGUCUCUAAUCUGUCUGAGAGAUGGGUUCGCUGUCUUCAGAACCAGGUGACCUAGUCUCUAAUCUGUCUGAGAGAUGGGUUCGCUGUCUUCAGAACCAGGUGACCUAGUCUCUAAUCUGUCUGAGAGAUGGGUUCGCUGUCUUCAGAACCAGGUGACCUAGUCUCUAAUCUGUCUGAGAGAUGGGUUCGCUGUCUUCAGAACCAGGUGACCUAGUCUCUAAUCUGUCUGAGAGAUGGGUUCGCUGUCUUCAGAACCAGGUGACCUAGUCUCUAAUCUGUCUGAGAGAUGGGUUCGCUGUCUUCAGAACCAGGUGACCUAGUCUCUAAUCUGUCUGAGAGAUGGGUUCGCUGUCUUCAGAACCAGGUGACCUAGUCUCUAAUCUGUCUGAGAGAUGGGUUCGCUGUCUUCAGAACCAGGUGACCUAGUCUCUAAUCUGUCUGAGAGAUGGGUUCGCUGUCUUCAGAACUAACCGGGUCAUCGACAUAUAGUUUCUCUUGGAAUUGUUUACCAAAAUUGAAAAACAAAUUCCAAUUGAGUUAGAAAAUGGGGAGUUGUGUCCAUACUACGAUACGCAUCAGAAGUCCCGUAGAGUAAAACCCCACUAAACUAAAGACCAAUGUGUUUCCAUUUAACGCUGCCGGAGUCUGGAACAUUCUAAUAAAUUAAACUGAAAUUAAAGGCGUUGGAUUUAUCACAAAGAGAACCGAGGAACGCUGCCUUUUGUGAAACGUCCUCUUUUAUGGAUCAAAAAAAGGCGUAUAAUUAUUUCAUAUUGGCCGUUAACCCCUUUGCUGUGCAACGGGCCAGUACCAGAUGACUUGUCCUAAUUGAGCCAGUUGUUUGAGACGGGAGACCAACCAGUAACAUGCAGAAAACGUUAUUAAGGCCAAGUCGUUUUGUCUCAACAAUAAAACAUGAUUCAUUAUUAAUCUUUUUUUUUGUGUUAUGAUGUU